UACGAAGGGGGCUAGCGUUGCUCGGAAUCACUGGGCGUAAAGGGUGCGUAGGCGGGUUCUUAAGUCAGGGGUGAAAUCCUGGAGCUCAACUCCAGAACUGCCUUUGAUACUGAGAAGCUUGAGUCCGGGAGAGGUGAGUGGAACUGCGAGUGUAGAGGUGAAAUUCGUAGAUAUUCGCAAGAACACCAGUGGCGAAGGCGGCUCACUGGCCCGGUACUGACGCUGAGGUGCGAAAGCGUGGGGAGCAAACAGG
rnacentral:rRNA from 1 species